GAUGAACGCUGGCGGCGUGCCUAAUACAUGCAAGUCGAGCGAACAGACGAGGAGCUUGCUCCUCUGACGUUAGCGGCGGACGGGUGAGUAACACGUGGAUAACCUACCUAUAAGACUGGGAUAACUUCGGGAAACCGGAGCUAAUACCGGAUAACAUGUUGAACCGCAUGGUUCAACAGUGAAAGACGGUCUUGCUGUCACUUAUAGAUGGAUCCGCGCCGCAUUAGCUAGUUGGUAAGGUAACGGCUUACCAAGGCAACGAUGCGUAGCCGAACUGAGAGAGUGAUCGGCCGCACUGGAGCUGAGACACGGUCCAGGCGCCUACGGGAGGCAGCAGUAGGGAAUGUUCGGCAGUGGGCGAAAGCCUGACGGAGCAACGCCGCGUGAGUGAAGAAGGUCUUCGGAUCGUAAAGCUCUGUUAUUGGGGAAAAACAAAUGUGUAAGUAACUAUGCACGUCUUGACGGUACCUAAUCAGAAAGCCACGGCUAACUACGUG
rnacentral:rRNA from 1 species